GAUGAACGCUGGCGGCGUGCCUAAUACAUGCAAGUCGAGCGAACAGACGAGGAGCUUGCACCUCUCACGUUAGCGGCGAACGGGUGAGUAACGCGUGGAUAACCUACCUGUAAGAGGGGGAUAACUAUGGGAAACGGGAGCUAAUACCGGAUAAUAUAUUGAAUCGCAUGGUUUAUUAGUGAAAGGCGGAAUUGCAGUACUACCAAGUGGGAUUCCGUCGUCAUUAGUUAGUUGGGAAGGUACGGGCCUACCAAGGGAAGGUACCUAAGCGAACCGAGGGGGUGGAUCGCCCCCCUUGGACCGGGAACCCGGUCCGGACUCUUACGGGAGGCACAGUAAGGGAAUCUCCGGCAAUGGGGGAAAGCCUGACGGAGCACGCCGCCGUGGGUGAUAAAGGUCUCCGGUCCUUAAACCUCUGUGAAUGGGGAGGAACAGAUUUGUAAGUAAAUAUUCACGUCGUGACGGUACCUAAUCAGAAAGCCACGGCUAACUACGUG
rnacentral:rRNA from 1 species